rnacentral:rRNA from 1 species
GACGAACGCUGGCGGCGUGCCUAAUACAUGCAAGUUGAGCGCUGAAGGUUGGUACUUGUACCAACUGGAUGAGCAGCGAACGGGUGAGUAACGCGUGGGGAAUCUGCCUUUGAGCGGGGGACAACAUUUGGAAACGAAUGCUAAUACCGCAUAAAAACUUUAAACACAAGUUUUAAGUUUGAAAGAUGCAAUUGCAUCACUCAAAGAUGAUCCCGCGUUGUAUUAGCUAGUUGGUGAGGUAAAGGCUCACCAAGGCGAUGAUACAUAGCCGACCUGAGAGGAUGAUCAGCCAAACUAGAACUGAGACACGGUCCAGACUCCUCCGGGAGGCAGCAGUGGGGAAUAUUGGACAAGGGGAGAAAGCCUGAUCCAGCAAUACCGAGUGGAGGAAGAAGGACUUCGGGGUGUAAAGCCCGUUUGUUGGGAAAGAAAAGCAGCAGGUUAAUACCCCGCUGUUCUGACGGUACCCAAAGAAUAAGCACCGGCUAACUUCGUG